GGCUGCUAAAAGAGUGGGGUUACGAUGAGCCACCUAAAGAUAUUAUAAACUGAGCGCUUUCCUUACAAGGAAGAAGUCACAGGUUCAAAUCCUGUAGCACCCA
rnacentral:tRNA from 1 species